AUUGAACGCUGGCGGCAGGCCUAACACAUGCAAGUCGAGCGGAUGACGGGAGCUUGCUCCUUGAUUCAGCGGCGGACGGGUGAGUAAUGCCUAGGAAUCUGCCUGGUAGUGGGGGACAACGUUUCGAAAGGAACGCUAAUACCGCAUACGUCCUACGGGAGAAAGCAGGGGACCUUCGGGCCUUGCGCUAUCAGAUGAGCCUAGGUCGGAUUAGCUAGUCGGUGGGGUAAUGGCUCACCAAGGCGACGAUCCGUAACUGGUCUGAGAGGAUGAUCAGUCACACUGGAACUGAGACACGGUCCAGACUCCUACGGGAGGCAGCAGUGGGGAAUAUUGGACAAUGGGCGAAAGCCUGAUCCAGCCAUGCCGCGUGUGUGAAGAAGGUCUUCGGAUUGUAAAGCACUUUAAGUUGGGAGGAAGGGCAGUAAGUUAAUACCUUGCUGUUUUGACGUUACCGACAGAAUAAGCACCGGCUAACUCUGUGCCAGCCGCCGCUGUAAUAC
rnacentral:rRNA from 1 species